rnacentral:rRNA from 1 species
UACGAAGGGGGCUAGCGUUGUUCGGAAUCACUGGGCGUAAAGGGCGCGUAGGCGGCUUUAUAAGUCGGGGGUGAAAGCCUGUGGCUCAACCACAGAAUUGCCUUCGAUACUGUAGGGCUUGAGACCGGAAGAGGUUAGUGGAACUGCGAGUGUAGAGGUGAAAUUCGUAGAUAUUCGCAAGAACACCAGUGGCGAAGGCGGCUAACUGGCUCAUACUGGACGCUGAGGUGCGAAAGCGUGGGGAGCAAACAGG